rnacentral:tRNA from 1 species
AAUAAUUUAGGCUAAGGCAAGCCGCAGGUCUUCAAAUCCUGAAAUGUGUUACACAGUUGUUA